GAUGAACGCUGGCGGCGUGCUUAACACAUGCAAGUCGAACGGAGUUAUUUGGAAGCUUGCUUUUGAAUAACUUAGUGGCGGACGGGUGAGUAACGCGUGGGUGACCUGCCUUAUACUGGGGGAUAACACUUAGAAAUAGGUGCUAAUACCGCAUAAGCGCACAGUUCUGCAUGGAACAGUGUGAAAAACUCCGGUGGUAUAAGAUGGACCCGCGUCUGAUUAGCUAGUUGGUGAGGUAACGGCUCACCAAGGCGACGAUCAGUAGCCGGCCUGAGAGGGUGAACGGCCACAUUGGGACUGAGACACGGCCCAAACUCCUACGGGAGGCAGCAGUGGGGAAUAUUGCACAAUGGGGGAAACCCUGAUGCAGCGACGCCGCGUGAGUGAAGAAGUAUUUCGGUAUGUAAAGCUCUAUCAGCAGGGAAGAAAAUGACGGUACCUGACUAAGAAGCCCCGGCUAACUACGUG
rnacentral:rRNA from 1 species